UUAGAAGCAGGCUUUGACGCGGGGGGAGGACAGGGCUUUGCGGGGUGCAGGGGUGCUGCGAGGCUGCUCGCCCGGCCCCGGCCUCUGCUCCGUCUCUGCGGGACGGGGCUCGGCGGCCGCCACCGGGGCAGGGAGGCCGGGGCACCCGGCUCGGAUCCCAGGUGACCCCUUCUCCUUACGCUGUGGGGCCGCGUAAAUCUCGCGCGUUGGCAGGUAGCGACGGCCCCGGGGGGGCGGCCCCGGCAGCGGGGGCCGGCGGCGCUGCCAGGAAGGGGUUUCGCGGCGCUUUUGGAGCCGCUGCCAUUAAGGGGCUUGCGGCUCCCUGCAACCCGGCAGAGUUCUCCAGGGAAGCGUUGGAAACACCACGGCUCCCGCCUGCUUAUCUGGCUGUCAAUAAAAGGAGAUGGCUCCUAAAGCAGGGCCAGGUGCUGCCUCCCCUGCUCUCCAGCGCGCCGCUCUCCAGAAACUGCUCAGGCGUGAAGCCAAGUCUGCUUGGCCAGGCCUCGGCGGAGGCAGGCAAACAGUCCCUUCGCCAGCGCCAGAGCGCUCUCUGUUUGCCUUUUUAUCUCCUAAAAAAAAAAGAGAGAGAGAGAGGGGGAAGCGAGUCAGGAAGGUGGGGGAGAGCCGGGAGCAGAGUCCGUGUUUGACUGUGAGAUCGCCGCAGAGGCUAAAAAAAAUAUUAAAAAUUAAAUAAAUUAAAAUGAUCAUAAUGAAAAGGAACAGGGGAGAAAAUAUCUGCAAAACGCUGCGCUCCUAGGCAGGCGGGACCCCGAGGGCUGCGGGACCGGGCCGGGCCGCCUCUCCCCGCCGGCCGCUGGCUCGGGACGCCCAGAGGCGGAGGUGCCCCGGACAGGCUCCGUCUCACCCCUCGGACCGCGGAGGAGGGUGCCCGAACGCGGAACCGGCCGCCCCCCGCCGCGCAGCCGUGCGGGCAGCACCCGGAGACCCCGCUCCGGGGACAGGGUGGCUCAGGCAGGGAGCGGUGCCGGGAAAUAGGGGGGGAACAGCCCCGCCAUCUCUGUGUGUCCCCUCAUUUAUUUUUGCGUCUGCCAUCGUCGGGCCCGCUGCCUUCACCUGGGCCGAGGAAGAAGGAGGCGGCUCCGCGGCAUAGCGCGGAGAGGAGCCCCGCGGGCGCGGAGAGGAGCGGGGCUCGGUGCGGGUGCCGCCGCACCGGGCAGCGGAUAGGAGCCGGGGCUCGGCAACGUGUUACAAAUUUAUAAGCAUUAUACAUAUUUGAUUUACACCACGAUAUGAAGUUGUGAUUUUUUUUUUUUUUUUUGCCGAGGAUGCCCCAAACCCCCGUUUUCACAUAGGUUGAGCAAUUCUCAACACACACUGUAAUAAUGAGCUUUAAUUCUCUAUCCAAGCAGAACUUGAGCAAUAAUAAUAAGCACAUCAGAACAAUUUGUUUACUGUGGCAUUGCACAGGCUUCAGGGUCCAAGACUAGCUACAAUAAACGGUAAAACUCAAAGGAAACUCUCUAGGACGGGAAAAAUAUUGCGAUAGAAACGUGGUUUUGGCUUUCAAGCAAAGAGGCACUUGACUAGCAUUUUAACUGGGAUAUUUUGCCCUUGACCAAGCAGUCUUUAUUUGGCAACUCAUUUUUGAAAAGGUUGACCUGAAAAAGUGCCGUGUCAUGCAGUACCUUAUUCUGCACGAUAAGCUGAGCUCUGGAGACUCACCAUCAGCAUGGAAGAGGUGCUGGGACCUGCUGCCCAGUGGGAAGGAUCCUGCCAAGUGACCUGGUGUGAGCUGCCUGUCUGACGGGUGUAAUCCUCCAAGUGUUUGAUCCAGUGGCUUUGCUUACGCCACGGAGAGAACUCGUGCGUGUAAGUACUGGAAUAUCGAGCCCUUAUUUUCAUGGGAUUGCUGGUCUCCUGUCACAACACAUCUCUUCGGGAGAUAUGAUUGAGAGUUUUGAUGAAUUUUACCAUGCCUUACAUGUCUAUAUUUAGUAAAAUGAAGCUUAGUUUUUAUCUUUGGAACAAGAUAUGAAUUUAGCUCCCAAACACAUUUUUUUAACUCAUGGGCUGUACUUCAAAGUGUUCUUUAAUGCCACUUUGAAAAUGCUCACUGGUAGCUCUUUAGGAACUGGAAAUCUUCUAUUUCUACUUACAUGGUGCUUUUAUGGAUGAUGAGCAUUGAUUUCCCUUCGGUUCUCAUGUGGAGAAAGGGCGUUGGUGCAGAGCGGCUGUGCCGGGCAGGUGCAGGGACCACAGCCUCACUGCAAUGGACACCGAUGUGUCCCAGGGGCUGCUCCUGCCGUGGCACUCCAGGGCAGGGACACCAGCGUGGGGUUUUGCACCAGGUUGCAGCAGCCUGAUUUGUAAAUAUGAGCAAGUCAUCUCCCCUCCAGCAUCCCCAGUCAUGUGCCCCAGCCAUGCAGGUGGGGAUGGAGAGGUGAUACUGCCACCACUGCUGUCAGGACCUGCUGCAGGUCCCCUCUGUGGUUCAGUCAGGUCCCCUCUGAGGUUCAAUCACACCUUCCCAAAGUUUCUUUUUCCCUAUGGUUUUGGUUAAGCAGUCUUCCAUGGGGCCACAGUCACAAGCUUGCUCCUGGUUCCUAGAGGGCUUGUGGCUUUUUUUUUAUGUUUUGUAUUCCUUUUUAGUGAAAGCUGAAAUUCAGCAGAAACUGAUGAGACCACCAUAGAGAAACGCGGGAUCACCGCACUGGCUAGUACCAGCUUGAUCUGGCUCUGGCUCCGGGAUGUGCAGCCUACAGACACAGUAAUGAAAAGAAAUAUUCUGAAAAGGAUGAGUCAGCUGGAGGCCGGUGGGGAGAGCGUGUGGGAUCUGACUGGAAUUUAAAAAGUUACGAGGCUACACGUUGUUUUGAGCCCUGCCAGCAGAGAAACUCAUACACGCGAAAUGCUUUGUCAUCUGGCAUAAUUAUAAUAUGUUACUUUGCUGAUUAGCUGGUAAACUCUUUUCAGAAUGUUUUAAACAAUAAUAAGUUCACAGAAUAUAAAAACUUCCUGCUGGCACCACCAACAAGGGUCUGCUUCAUGUGUUAUUGUGAUCUGUCUUCCCCAGAACCCUGACAGACUAUUGAAUAGCCAUGAAAUUGUUCUCUUACUAUGUACUAGGUGACUUAUCUGUUAAAACAGCUGAGGUAGCUCCGUACCUUCAUUUCUGUGCUGUAAGUACCCCUACACUGAUGUGAGCUGUGGGUACACCCACACCUGUAGUGCAAAACAUAUUUCUGCACUUGUUUUUUGUACAUUUGCACCAAUCAGGGCAGCAGCAGUUUGGUUUGAAGCUGCUUCGCUGACUCCUCCAGCCAGGUACCAACAUGUCCUUCCUGCCUCCGCUGGAAAGCAGUGCCCAGCACUCAACAUUUGGGAGAACAAUUUGCAAGCCAGACAAGAACUUUCAAAAAUCUGGGUUUCGGCUUUAAGGUUCUUUAAAUAAAUGAUCUCAGAGUUAAAUUUAUCUUUCGUGUUGUCCCUCUUUAUAAAGACCUGAUACAUCUAGUCCCAAUUCCCAAACCCGGUCAAACGAGUGGCGAGAGUCCAUGCUCAUUCCUGGAACAUCUCCAAGCAGGGGAUUGCGAAAGAAACACCACUGACACCGGCUGUGACUGGUCACCCUUUGCAAUUGUGUUGUGUUUGCCUUUCCUGCUUUUCUUUCAACAAACCUCAUCACUGAGAGAGAUGCUGACACAAACUGUGCAACUGGUGGUAAGAAAGAUGGGUACCCGCUGGUGAGCAUGAGACAUAACUAAUCGCUGCCCCCUCUCGAAGAAGUACGUGCCUUUCUUAGGUGUGGAUGAACAAGACGCCAGUUCAUUAAGACUAAAUCAGAACAGCUCACCUGUGUGAUCCUUUGCUCCAGUGCGAAGUGGGUGUGAAACGCUGCUGCUCAGAUGUGUCGGUGUCGUACACCUCCUCUCCAAAGUGCAAAUAACUCCCCAGGCUGUGAGCCGGAGGGGACGGGCCCACGCUUGGUGGAGCCAAUGUUGCAGCAGCAGUUCGUAAGGAAUGUCUUGUGCUCCCAACAUCACGAUGCCCGUCAAAUCAAAGCCUGGAUGUUCGCUGCGGUGGAGCUGGACUGAAACUUAGUGCUUAGGCUAAUUAAAAUCAACAUUCAAACCUU